UUUUGAAUUUUUUUCACUACUUAUUCUUUUCUUUUUUAAUUUUAUUAUUGAAAUCCCAUUUGAUUUUAUUUUUGUAUGCCACCUCUUAUAAUACUAUUUAGGGGUGUUCAUAGUUUGGUUCGGUUUAGACUAAAAAAACCAACCAAACUGAAUUACAUUAAUUUUGUAAAAUAUUAACCGAACCGGACUGAAAACCAGUUCAAACCAAACCGGUCCGGUUAAAUCCAGUUUUUAUGGCAAAAAACCGGGAAACCUAAUCCCAUCAUUUAGACUCAUUCAUUCAGCAAAGCGAAGAAGAUUUGUUUCGGUUUCAAUUCCUUGAUCGAAACUGCCAGAAAGACACGAUACAGGGAGCCAUACUCUACUGAUGCUCCCAAACACUUCAGCAAGAUAAAGAAAUAGAAUAGCUAGUAUAGGAGUGAGGUGUUAGCUCGAAGUUUGCUGUAGCCCCCCUCACUGAACUAAUUCAUAUAGCAAAUCCAAAAAAUAAUGAUGUCGGCCUAUUCUUGCUUUACUGACUAGAUCACUAUUUCUUGAGCUUGUAGAAGCAUUUGAUGAAGAGGUAGAUGUUCCGCUUCCAUCACGACUAUCGACUGACUUAGACGACUUCUUUGGGAGUCUAUUGACUCAAGUCCACAGCAUGCAUUGAGAGGAAACUGGGAAAGAAAGAUUGGGAAUUAAUUUAGAGGAAGAUUGAGAUUUUCUCUGGGCAAGCGGUGGCUUUUUGUGAGAGGCAGGAAGAGGAAGGUUAUGUUAAUUGUUAGGGUUAGCCGGUUAGGUUUAACUAUUUAUACCUCAAAGAUUUUUGUAAUUUUUGGCUUUUAG
rnacentral:lncRNA from 1 species